GACGUAGGGCGCGAGCGUUGUCCGGAUUUAUUGGGCGUAAAGAGCUCGUAGGCGGUUUCGUAAGUCGGAUGUGAAAACUCCAGGCUCAACUUGGAGACGCCAUUCGAUACUGCGAUGACUUGAGUCCGGUAGGGGAGUGUGGAAUUCCUGGUGUAGCGGUGAAAUGCGCAGAUAUCAGGAGGAACACCUAUGGCGAAGGCAGCUCGCUGGGACGGUACUGACGCUGAGACGCGAAAGCGUGGGGAGCAAACAGG
rnacentral:rRNA from 1 species